rnacentral:rRNA from 1 species
AAAUAGCAMACUGGAUGAAUUUUCAUCACAGUAUUGCAAUGAGAACAAUGUAAAUGCUUUAUCGAUUAACAAUUGGAGSGCAAGUCUAGGUGCCAGCAGCCGCGSWAAUUCCAGCUCCAAUAGCGUAUAUUAAAGUUGUUGCAGUUAAAAAGCUCGUAGUUGAACUUCUGUACAUUCCCAGUUCUGGCUUCGGUCAAGCUGUGGAGUGUGCAUCCGCUUGCAAACUUAGACCGGCCUUUACUGGUCGACUAAGGGAGUAAGCCCUUUACUUUGAAAAAAUUAGAGUGUUUCAGGCAGGCUUUGGCUCGAAUACAUUAGCAUGGAAUAAUGGAAUAGGACUUUUGUCCAUUUGGUUGGUUAUUGGACUUAAGYAAUGAUUAAAAGGGACAGUUGGGGGCAUUAGUAUUUAAUUGUCAGAGGUGAAAUUCUUGGAUUUAUUAAAGACUAACUUAUGCGAAAG